GACGAACGCUGGCGGCGUGCCUAAUACAUGCAAGUUGAGCGCUGAAGGUUGGUACUUGUACCAACUGGAUGAGCAGCGAACGGGUGAGUAACGCGUGGGGAAUCUGCCUUUGAGCGGGGGACAACAUUUGGAAACGAAUGCUAAUACCGCAUAAAAACUUUAAACACAAGUUUUAAGUUUGAAAGAUGCAAUUGCAUCACUCAAAGAUGAUCUCGCGUUGUAUUAGCUAGUUGGUGAGGUAAAGGCUCACCAAGGCGAUGAUACAUAGCCGACCUGAGAGGGUGGUCGGCCAGCGUGGGAAUGAGACACGGCCCAAACUCAUUCGGGAGGCAGCAGUAGGGAAUCUUGGGCAAUGGGCGAAAGUCUGACCGAGCAACGCCGCGGGAGUGCAGAAGGUUUUCGGAUCGUGAAACUCUGUUGGUAGAGAAGAACGUUGGUGAGAGUGGAAAGCUCAUCAAGUGACGGUAACUACCCAGAAAGGGACGGCUAACUACGUG
rnacentral:rRNA from 1 species